CACAGCUGCCAGGUAUGUACCAGCCACCCCAAAUCUCUUCCCUCUUUUCCAGCCUGAGGCCAUCAUCCACCAGCAGCAUUUAAGCCAAGGCAAUCUUCCCUCACAGAUACUAAAUCCCAAGCAAUAGGCCUCAGAGAUGCCUUAAAAUCAGAGGUUCGAGUGGGAUGACAUUUGGAAAUUUUCAGGGAGCCAGCUGGAAGUGCAGAAGCAAUGGAAAACUUUCACAGAAGCCAGGAGCCAAAGCAGAUCCCUCCUGCUUUGGUGGGCAGCUGCUGGAUCUGCUCUGGGGGAAAACUCCCUGCCCCUGCCAGGAGCGCUGACUCUGCUUUUCCUCCAGCUCCUGAGCAGUGCCAGGGCCACCGUGAGGGAGUUCAAACCCAAAAAAAUCCCACAGCCCACGGAGUGAAUGAUCCCA